UACGUAGGGUGCGAGCGUUAAUCGGAAUUACUGGGCGUAAAGCGUGCGCAGGCGGUUUUGUAAGACAGGCGUGAAAUCCCCGGGCUCAACCUGGGAAUGGCGCUUGUGACUGCAAAGCUGGAGUGCGGCAGAGGGGGAUGGAAUUCCGCGUGUAGCAGUGAAAUGCGUAGAUAUGCGGAGGAACACCGAUGGCGAAGGCAAUCCCCUGGGCCUGCACUGACGCUCAUGCACGAAAGCGUGGG
rnacentral:rRNA from 1 species